AGUUUCCUGCCUCAACAAGAAUGGAGUGCUCAAACAGAAAUUUUAGUAGAGUUUCUAGGUAAAAAUGAGAGCUUAAAGAAUAACGUAUCUGGCGUCCCCCCUUUUAUAGGCAGAGGGAGCAACAGACUGAUAGCGAUGUUUGUAACCGUUUGGCAGUGGGAUGUCCAGGGGUUUAUUGCGAAGAGUAGUGGAGUGGACCCGUGGCUAUCAUCGGGGCGUGCCACGCGGAGUCUGCCAAGGGGAGCGGAGCGGUGUCCGUUGUCGCGACUUGCCAG
rnacentral:lncRNA from 1 species